UUUUUUAAUUGAAAGCUGGUAUGAAUGGUUGAAUGAAAUAUUAACUGUCUCAAAAAAAAAUUAAUAUUAAAAUUUUAUUUUUUAGUUAAAAAGCUAAAAUAAUUUUAAAGGACGAGAAGACCCUAUAGAGUUUUAUAAAAUUAUUAUCAAUUAAUUAUAAUUAAUAAUAUAUUUAUUAAAUUGUUAAUAAUUUAUUUUAUUGGGGAGAUAAUAAAAUUUAAAAAACUUUUAUAAAAAUUUAACAAUAAUAAUUGAUUAAUUGAUCCUAUUUAUAGAUUAAAAAUUUAAAUUACCUUAGGGAUAACAGCGUAAUUUUUUUUUAAAGUUCAUAUUUAUAAAAAAGAUUGC
rnacentral:rRNA from 1 species